CUGAUCGCUGCAAGAAUAUAAUGCUCAGUUAGCAGAGAAAUUUAACAGAAAAUGAAAGCAAAAAUCAACUGUACUGUCAUUUAGCCUCAUCAGUAUCGUCAUCGUUAAAGACAAUAUAGUAAUUAUGCUAAUCAUCAAGAAAUGCAUUGGUUUCCCCAUAUAAAGAUCUAUAAACAAAUCCCCUAAAUAUGGAUUUCAAAUGGACCACCUUUCAUACAGUGCACACCCAACCUCAAAAUCAAAGGAUCCCAUAAAACCAUACUUCGUAAGCAUCAUAUAGUGAAAACCAAAUAAUGGAAGUGCUUCAUUAAAAAAAUCCAGCAGUUUAGAAACAAUGCUCAGGUGAAUUAUGCUAAUCAUCAAGAAAUGCAUGGUUUCCCCAUAUAAAGCAUCAUAUAGCGAAAACCAAAUAAUGGAAGUGCUUCAUUAAAAAAAUCCAGCAGUUUAGAAACAAUGCUCAGGUGAAUUAUGCUAAUCAUCAAGAAAUGCAUGGUUUCCCCAUAUAAAGCAUCAUAUAGCGAAAACCAAAUAAUGGAAGUGCUUCAUUAAAAAAAUCCAGCAGUUUAGAAACAAUGCUCAGGUAAAUUAUGCUAAUCAUCAAGAAAUGCAUUGGUUUCCCCAUAUAAAGGUCUAUCAAAAAAUCCCCUAAAUAUGGAUUUCAAAUGGACCACCUUUCAUACAGUGCACAACCAACCUCAAAAUCAAAGGAUCCCAUAAAACCAUACUACCUAAGCAUCAUAUAGCAAAAACCAAAUAAUGGAAGUGCUUCAUUAAAAAAAUCCAGCAGUUUAGAAACAAUGCUCAGGUGAAUUAUGCUAAUCAUCAAGAAAUGCAUUGGUUUCCCCAUAUAAAGGUCUAUCAACAAAUCCCCUAAAUAUGGAUUUCAAAUGGACCACCUUUCAUACAGUGCACACCCAACCUCAAAAUCAAAGGAUCCCAUAAAACCAUACUACCUAAGCAUCAUAUAGCGAAAACCAAAUAAUGGAAGUGCUUCAUUAAAAAAAUCCAGCAGGUUAGAAACAACGCUCAGUGAAUUAUGCUAAUCAUCAAGAAAUGCAUUGGUUUCCCCAUAUAAAGGUCCAUCAACAAAUCCCCUAAAUAUGGAUUUCAAAUGGACCACCUUUCAUACAGUGCACACCCAACCUCAAAAUCAAAGGAUCCCAAAAAACCAUACUACUUAAGCAUCAUAUAGCGAAAACCAAAUAAUGGAAGUGCUUCAUUAAAAAAUCCAGCAGUUUAGAAACAAUGCUCAGGUGAAUUAGAGAUCAAGCUGGGUGCCUCAAUUCAACAGCAGCAAAUGAUCUUAAGAAGUAUUGCUGAUUGUUGUGAAGUUAUUUGAGUUUUCCAAGUUCCUUCAUUCUUGAAAAAAUUUGAACCUUUUGUAACAUCUUCUUUCAAAAUUUUCAUUUAAAGGUGAACCAAAAUUUUUCAUAAAAUUAUCAUAAACAUAAUGAAAUUGGUAACUAGACACCAAAAAAUUAUAAAAUAAACCACAAUCUGCAUAACAACUAAAGGCGCAAUAAAUGCAUAUUCAAGCAAAGGCAAACAACCAUAGAUGAUAAAAUUCAAACAACUGCCCAAGGCCCUAUACUGAAAUACAACUACUUAGUAAUUAAAAAUUGCUCCAACUGUAACAGAACAAUCCAUUGUUAAAAUGGCCAAGGAAAUACAAUAAGAUGUGUUGAAAUUAUGGCAGCCUAGAAAAAACAACACCACAUCCCAAUCAACCAAUAAGUAAGCUCUCAGGUGAAAAAGCAUGAAACAAGUCAAGAAGCAUUUUGGAACAAAAACUAAACUUGGGUGCACCAACAAACAAAUUGGACUCUCAAGCACUCAAGGAAAUCUAAUAAAGUAGAUGGACAAUAUGCCAUUUCCAAUAUUGCAAAUAGCUAAUUACGAUAUUCUUCUAGCCAAGUUUAAUAGCAAAAGGAGCGGACUAAAAUGUCAAACAAGAUCAAGAGACAAAGCAAGUUCACAGUCAGAAGAAAACCCAAAAAAAAAAAAAACUUAUUGCACAUCACAUCUUCCUCAUUGUUCAGUGUUUU